UACAGGGGGAGCAAGCGUUGUUCGGAUUUACUGGGCGUAAAGGGCGCGUAGGCGGCCACCGCAAGUCAAUUGUGAAAUCUCCGGGCUUAACUCGGAAAGGUCAACUGAUACUGCGGGGCUAGAGUGCAGAAGGGGCAACUGGAAUUCUCGGUGUAACGGUGAAAUGCGUAGAUAUCGAGAGGAACACCUGCGGCGAAGGCGGGUUGCUGGGCUGACACUGACGCUGAGGCGCGAAAGCUAGGGGAGCGAACGGG
rnacentral:rRNA from 1 species